rnacentral:ncRNA from 1 species
ACGUCGCUGCUCUACAAGAAAGUGACUGGGCUUCUCGGCGCUGGCCAGCGCUCCGGAAAGCGGCUUCUCGGCAUCGUGACGCCGUCUUUCCCGGGGUGUAGGGCUGCUUAGUUGGUAAAGCUCCCUGCCUUGAAGAAAAUCCGGUGAUUUACUGAGUGCCCUUGUAAAGAUCAGGGGAAGUUGUACACGUAAAACAAGGCAUUGUUGUGAGCACAAAUGCUGCUGAAGCAAUCCGGCUUCUUCCCGAUGCUCUGAGUGUUAAUAUAAUGAAAUUCAAUCGACCAUGGUUAACGGACUACGUAGGCGUGACGCUCUCAAGUUAGCAAAAUGCCCGGUCAUUUAAUUUGUGUCUUGCAUGAAUGGACCGACAAAACUUCCACUG